rnacentral:rRNA from 1 species
AGAGUUUGAUCCUGGCUCAGGACGAACGCUGGCGGCGUGCCUAACACAUGCAAGUCAAGGAGAACACCCCGACUUGUCGGGGUCAGUAAACUGGCGAACGGGUGAGUAACACGUAGGUAACCUGCCCUGGAGAUGGGGAUAUCCCGGCGAAAGCGGGGUUAAUACCGAAUAAUGUCCCGAUCACCUAGGUGAGCGGGAUUAAAGCGGUUCCGCCUUCCGGCGGAUUCGCGCUUCAGGAUGGGCCUGCGUCCGAUUAGUUUGUUGGUGGGGUAAUGGCUCACCAAGGCGAUGAUCGGUAGCUGGUCUGAGAGGAUGAUCAGCCACACUGGAAUUGAGAUACGGUCCAGACUCCUACGGGAGGCAGCAGUGGGGAAUUUUGCGCAAUGGGCGAAAGCCUGACGCAGCAACGCCGCGUGACCGAUGAAGCUUCUCGGAGUGUAAAGGUCUGUCGUGAGGGAAGAAAAAUCCCGACGUGAAUAACCUUGGGACUUGACGGUACCUCACAAGAAAGCACCGGCUAACUUCGUGCCAGCAGCCGCGGUAAUACGAGGGGUGCGAGCGUUGUCCGGAAUCACUGGGCGUAAAGGGUGCGUAGGCGUCCCGGCUAGUUGUUUGUUAAAUCCUCCGGCUCAACCGGAGAGCUGCAAACAAAACUGCCGGGAUAGAGUGUGAGAGAGGAAAGUGGAAUUCCUGGUGUAGCGGUGACAUGCGUAGAUAUCAGGAGGAACACCGAUAGCGAAGGCAGCUUUCUGGCUCAAGACUGACGCUGAGGCACGAAAGCGUGGGGAGCAAACAGGAUUAGAUACCCUGGUAGUCCACGCCGUAAACGAUGAGUACUUGGUGUUGGGGGAUUCGACCCCUUCAGUACCGUAGUUAACGCGUUAAGUACUCCGCCUGGGGACUACGACCGCAAGGUUGUAACUCAAAGGAGUUGACGGGGACCCGCACAAGCGGUGGAACAUGUGGUUUAAUUCGAUGCAACGCGAAGAACCUUACCUGGGCUUGACAUAAUGGUGAAAGUUCUGUGAAAGCAGGACCCUCUGCGAGCUUGCUCAAUGACACUAUUACAGGUGGUGCAUGGCUGUCGUCAGCUCGUGUCGUGAGAUGUUGGGUUAAGUCCCGCAACGAGCGCAACCCUUGUUCUUAGUUACCAGCACGUAAAGGUGGGGACUCUAAGAAUACUGCCUGGGAUAACCAGGAGGAAGGUGGGGAUGAUGUCAAGUCAGUAUGUCCCUUAUGUCCAGGGCUACACACGUGUUACAAUGGCCGGUACAAAGGGUCGCCAACCCGCGAGGGGGAGCUAAUCCCAAAAAACCGGUCCCAGUUCAGAUUGGAGUCUGCAACUCGACUCCAUGAAGGAGGAAUCGCUAGUAAUCGUGGAUCAGCACGCCACGGUGAAUACGUUCCCGGGUCUUGUACACACCGCCCGUCAAGCCAUGGAAGUCAGCAGUACCCAAAGCCGGUGGCCUAACCCGCCAGCUGGCGGGGGGGAGCCGUUUAAGGUAAGGCUGGUAACUAGGGCUAAGUCGUAACAAGGUAACC